UUAACCUGUUCCUGUUUCAACACUGCACUGGGAAUUUCCUAUCACUAAAAACCAAGGGAUUUCAUAGAACCUAGAGGUCACAGCUACAAGAGAAGUGAAAUGGCUGUCUGUAUUUAUGUUACACUUUAUCAAUGCCGAUUAAUCAGGCAGUACAUAUACCGAAACAUGCUUAGAAGCUAAGUCGUACACAAGGUGCCAUGGAAUAUUUACUAUCACCUGAACCACUAUCAGCUCGGACAGAUAAGAGAACACCCUGGAAGUGCAGCACUUACAUCAUGCAACACUACAAUGUCAGUGCUGGAAUAUGAAUCAGUAGUCUUCUGUAUAUUGUUCAGAUUAUGCAUAUUGUGAUGAUUUACAUUAUUUAUAUUAAUGUUUAUUCCAAAAAAAUUGUUGAUUUGACAUCAGUUGUUAUGAAGUAAAGUACAAGUAAUCUGU